rnacentral:lncRNA from 1 species
UGCACUUCAUGCCCACGACACUGAGCACCAUGGCCACAAAGCCCAGGAGCACAGCCACGACCAUCAGGGCUCGUGCUGAUUGGAUAUGACCUGAGGCAGGUUAAGAAAGCCAUACUGUACCAGUGUUCCAAAGCCAUCUGGAAUUCAAGACCUACUCCUGAGGCUACACGUUUCUUAGCCCAAGCAGCACAGCUUCUCCACCCUAGGGAACCCUCCAUUCUCUGUGGUUCUGCAGCCCAGUAACUCUCAGGCAUGCAUAGAGAGCUGAUGGCUCAGGGUUCCUAGCCCAGCCUCCCAUCAGAGCUGACGGGAACUGCCUGGGGUAGACACAAGUCACGGUUUAAAAGUAAAUAAAAUCAAGUGCCUUCACUUCCUUCC